AGACAAUGACAGCACCUGCCAGUCAGAUGACUCCCUUAAACAGGAAAGCCGUGACGAGGACGCCAGCCUGUCAUUUCCUUUCGGCGGUGCCACACGUGAGGGUCGCGCUGUCGCCUGCAGCACUCAUGUCUGUGAUGUUGCGCUUCGCUCUCCUGUCGGCUUUUCUCGGCGGAGGACUGGCUCUAAAGAUGACCCAAGAAGCCAUCUCAAUAACCAAAGGCUUAACGAAAACUGCCCGGUUUACCUGUAAAUCGGAUGAGACGGUGGACUUCAUUCACUGGUACCAACACAAGGACCACGAGCCCCCGCGGAGAAUUCUUUACAUCACUGUGAGCUCCGGCUUGGUGACUCACGACGACAGCGGCGACAGAGAGAAGUUCACCGCUGCCACCGAGAGCUACACGUUAGCCCUGAAUAAAAUGGAACAAAGCGACGUGGCCGCGUAUUACUGCGCCGCCUGGACCAGCCACAGUGACACGGGGUUCGGGACCCCCGCGCAAGAACAGACCCCUCGUACAGUUGGUGUCAGGCCUCAUUCGUCACAUCGGAGAACUCAUAGGAGUCUGGGUUAUGACGCGUAGGGGUGUGGCGUUGA